GUCGAACGCUAGCGAUGUGUCUAAGGCAUGCAAGUCAAACGGAUCUUAUUUCUUCGGAAAUUAGAUUAGUGGCAAACGGGAGAGGAACGCAUUGGUCAUUCACCCUGUACUCGAGGACAGCCCAGAGAAAUCUGGAGUAAUACUCGAUAUUGAUGAGGGGACGCAAGUCAUUCUCAUUGAAAGCUCCGGCGGUGCAGGAGAAGCCUAUGUACUAUCAGCUUGUUGGUGAGGUAAUGGCUCACCAAGGCUAUGACGGUUACCGGGCGUGAGAGCGUGACCCGGCUCACUGGGACUGAGACACGGCCCAGACUCCUACGGGAGGCUGCAGUCAAGAAUCUUCCGCAAUGCACGAAAGUGUGACGAGCGACAUCGCGUGUCGGAUGAAGGCUUUUUCGGGUC
rnacentral:rRNA from 1 species